rnacentral:rRNA from 1 species
UAAAAAUAGGUUUUAGGUAAGGAUUUCUCGAAUUUGAGAGGGCUAGGAAAGUAUAUAUUUUAUUGUGGAAUAAUUAUUUACAAUACUUUUUUCUUAGUAAUGAAAUAUUAGUCGUUCUUUAAUAUAUCUAGUUUCUUAAGAAAUUAAUUUAAUUAAGCUGGGUUGGAAUUUAACUUUUUGAUAAGUUGAUUUAGGAAUCAAGUAAUGUUUAAGGGGAUAAGCUUUUGAACAAAUCAUUAAAACGUUUAUUUGAAUUUAGGAUUAAAUAGGAAUAGAAGUUUCCAUUUUGUGAAGUGAGUAAUAUCAGGAUUUGAUUUAAGGUGAUUUUUAUUUGUUUAGGUUUUUUAUUAAGAAGAGUAAUUUAAUUUUAGGGUUUUUGGUAUAAUGAUAGGAUUAGUAUAUUUAUUAUGUUUAAUUAAUUAGGGCUUGUAAGGUUAAGUUGAGGAACUCGGCAAUUUGAUUCUCUGCCUGUUUAUUAAAAACAUGGCCUUUUGAGAAUUAUUUAAGGUCUGGCCUGCCCAAUGAUUUAUUUAAUGGCCGCGGUAUCCUGACCGUGCAAAGGUAGCAUAAUCAUUAGUUUUUUAAUUGAAAGCUGGAAUGAACGGUCGGACGAGGGAAUAACUGUCUUUACUUAAUUUAUGGAAUUUUAUUUUUUAGUGAGAAAGCUAAAAUUACUUUGAGGGACGAGAAGACCCUAUAGAAUUUUAUAAGUUUUUUUUGUGUUGAUUUUUAGGGUUUUUUGGGUUGACUUGGGAAAUAUUUAUUUUGUUGGGGUGAUGGAAAAAUUUGAAUAACUUUUUUUAAGUAAAAUUCACUGAUUUGUGAAUGCUUGAUCCAUUUUUUGUGAUUAUAAGAUUAAAUUACCUUAGGGAUAACAGCGUUAUUAGUUUGGAGAGUUCUUAUCGAUAAACUAGUUUGCGACCUCGAUGUUGGAUUAAAAUGAACUUAUGGUGUAAGGGCUAUAUGGUUAAGUCUGUUCGACUUUUAAAAUUUU